rnacentral:rRNA from 1 species
AUUGAACGCUGGCGGCAUGCCUUACACAUGCAAGUCGAGCGGCUGCACGGGGCUUUCCCCCUGAUGGCGCGUCGCAAGGGUGUGAAUAGUCCAUCAGAAUACGUGCUAGUGGGGGAUAUAGUCCGGCGAAAGCCGCUAAAACACCACACGCCCUCUGCGGAUGAGUGCGGGGGACCCGCACCCCUCGCUCUCUGGUGAGCCGAGGUCGGGUUAGCUAGUUGGUGGGGUAAAGGCCUACCAAGGCGACGAUCCGUAUCUGGUCUGAGAGGAUGAUCAGUCACACUGGGACUGAGACACGGUCCAGACUCCUACGGGAGGCAGCAGUGGGGAAUUUUGGACAAUGGGCGAAAGCCUGAUCCAGCAAUGCCGCGUGUGUGAAGAAGGUCUUCGGGUUGUAAAGCACUUUUAGUUGGGAAGAAGGGCAUUGAGUUAAUACCGUGCGGGUUUGACGGUACCGGCAGAAUAAGCACCGGCUAACUUCGUG